UUUUUUUUUUUUUUUUUUUUUUUUUUGGGUAAAAGCUGUAGAAUGUCACAGUGGAAACUAAAAAUAUCCUUCAGAGAGUGGUCUUUUGGCACCAAAGACAAAAAUAGAUUGAUUUUUUUUUUUUGAAAGUUCAAGUUAAAAAAAAAAGAAAUAUAAACACGAAGCACAGUUUAAGAGCAAGAGAGGACAAAAAUCAGACUGUUUUCUGUAGCAAAGAUUCACUGUUGGCUGGAAAAACUGCACCCAGGGACAAUGCUACAAGAAAACGGAGGUAAAGUGUUAUUCUCCUGGAUGAUGACAUAGAACAGGUCUCACAAGAACAGAAAACAGAAAAGCCACUCAUCCACCUGAACAUCUGAAAUUUCACUUCUUAAACUCCACCUAGAGUCAACAGGCAGAAAUACGUAAAUAUAAUUCAUUACGCCUUGUCGGUCAUUUAUUUAUAGCUCAGUAUAAAUUAUUAGACACAGGGAAUCAGCUGAUUGGAAUAUCACAUGAUGAGGAAAAUGAACAUAUUAGGAUCCUAAAUGAGAAGAAAUCAAAGAUGGACAGGGAGGAAAGAAGGAAAGAUGUGGUAGAUGGCCGGGUCUGCACUUCUCAUCGGAAUACAGAGGGAUAAGAGAAAAUUCAUUCAUGCAGCCAAAAAAUUUUAGUGAACACCACUGAUUUUCCAGGUACUAUUUCUGGCGCUGGGAAACCGAGAGUUGAACAAGUGAGAUAAACUUCUUGUUUUCAGGGACCUUGCAUUCCAGUGGGAAGAGAGACAGACAAUAAAGAAGCAAGAGAAGAAGAUAAAGGGAAAUUAUGUCAAAUUAUGAAGACACAAACCAGGACAGUGGCAUGCAACCCAGGGAGCUAUUUUAUAUGGGGUCAGUGGAAUGCUGGGACCAGCUCAUACUGGCUUGGAGAAUCAAAUGCAUGCAUCUCUUCCAGACUCCAAAAAUGCUACAAAUCAGGGUCUCCCAUCCACCAGAGCUGGUUGUUAAGCCUUUAGUAGCACACCACCAGAUGAGGAGGUUUUUCUGAAUACUAAGGAAAGGAGUCAAUCUUGCGCUGGGAGGGUGGCAAAUCCAGAGACCCAGAAGCUGAAUUCACAGGAAAUCAAGCAGGACUCUAUGUUUUAUUUUAUUUUAAUUUAAAAUAUUUUUAAGGCCACACCUGUGGAAUAUGGAAGUUACCAGACCAGAGGCUGAAACAGAGCUGCAGCUGGGGCCUAUGCCACAGCCACAGCAACACACAGAUCCUUAACCCACUGAGUGAGGAUCCGGCGUUGCUGUGGCUAUGGUGUAGGCUAGUGUCUGUGGCUCUGAUAUGACCCCUAGCCUGGGAACUUCCAUAUGCUGCAGAUUUGCCCCUGGAAGCCAAAAAAAGAAAGGAAAGAAAGAAAGAAAGACCCAAAGAGGUGAACUAGUAGACAUGACAACUCUAGCAGCCUAGCUUAUUCUGGAACACAGGUCACGUGCCUCAUUUGAUGCCAUGUUUUCAAUGUCUACACCCUAGGACAGUGGUGCUCAAAAAUGAGCAUGCAUCGGAAUUCCCUUAGGCCUUGUUAAAAACACCCCACAGGCUCCACCCUCCUGAGUUUAGGUAUCGGUAGGGCUUGGGUGAGGCCCAGGAAUCUGCACGACUAGCCAGUCCCCAGGUGAUCUUAAUGCCACUGAUCUGGACCCCACUUCAAGAUCCACUGACCCAGGAACUAGGAGCAUGGGUUUUGGGAUCCAACACGGCUCAGUUCCAGCUCUUCUUCAGCCACUUGUUUCACCUUUGGAAAAGCCACCCGAACACUCUGGACCUCAGUUUCUGACACGUGAGUCAGAAUCCAGAACAAAAUGCCCAUAAAGCACUAGCUUAGCCAAGGGCCUGGCACAUCCGAAAGCAAAUGCUCAACAAAUACUUCAUCCUGGAGCUAAGUUUCCUGAAUUACCAGAGUUUCCCUGCUUCUGCUGUUUCAUUUUCUGUGAUUUCAGUUAGCCACAGUCAACUAUGGUAUGAAAAUAUUAAAAAGAAAAUUCCAGAAAUAAACAAUUAAUACAUUUAAAACUGUGCGACAAGCAUCAUGAUGAAAUUUCCCACCUUCCCGCUCUGUCCUGCCCAGGACAUGAAUCAUCACUUUGUUUAGGGUAUCCCAACCGAUAGUCACUUAAGAGCUCAGUUAUCAAAUUGGCCAUCCUGGUACCGCAGUGCUGGUGUUCACGUGACCUUCAUUUUACUCAAUAAUGGUCCCAAAAUGCAAGAAGAGUGAUGAUGGCAGUUCAGAGCUGCCAAAGAGAAGCCAAAAAGUGCUUCCUUGAAGUGAAAAGGUAAAAGUUCUCGACUUAAUAGGGAAAGAAAAAAACCACAUGCUGAGGAUGCUAAUAAGAUCUAUGGUAAGAAUAAAUUUUCUCUUCAGGAGAUCGAGAAGAAGGAAAGAAUACUUCAUGCUAGGUUUGCUGCUGCACUUAAAACUGCGAAAGUCACAACCACAGUGAGUGCUAAGUGCUUAGCUAAGAUGGAAAAGGCAUUAUAUUUGAACAAGAAGAUCUUUUGAAAGAGAUCACAUUCACAUAACUUUCAUCACAGUAUAUUAGUUAUAAUUGUUCUACUCUCUCAUGUAAUCUCUUCCUUUGCCUAAUUUGGAAAGUAUCACCUGCAGAUAAGGGAGGAUUUCUGUACUUUUCCCCUUUUUCCACAUACACUACAAUGGCUAAAAUUCAAAAGACAGACAAGAUCAAAGACUGGCAAAGAUAUGGCAGAAUUGGACCAUAUAUAGCAGCUUUAUUCAUAAUAGCUGGAAAAAAAUAAACAGUCCAAAUGUCUAUCCAUCAACAGGCAAAAAUAUAAAGCAAGUGGCAUAUGUAUAUGACAAAAUACUAUUUCACAAUAGAAAAGAACCAUGAUCAGACAACAAUAUGAAAUCUCUCCAAAAUAUUUUGAGUGAAAAAAGCCAGACACAAAAGAGUACGUACUACAUUAUUUCAUUUAUAUGAAUUUCAAAAUACAGACAAGACAAACCCAUGGUGGGAGAAAUCAAACAGCCAGUGCCUCUGGAAGAGAUAGGCGAACUGACUGAAAAGGGACAGGAAGGAAAUUUCUGGGGUGAUGGAAACAUUCUGUAUCUUGAUUUAGGUGAAGCUAACAUGAGCAUAUACAUUUGUCAAAACCCGCCAAACUAUAUAUUUAGGAUUUGUGCAUUCUAUGAUAGGUAAAAAUGUACUUAUAAAAUAUACGUGUACACUUUAUUAUACAUAUAAAGUAAUAAUACAUACCAUAUAUGUUAUUAAUAUAUAUAUUAAUUUUUAGGCACUUUUGUGACAAAAUAGUCUCUCCAUUUAUUUAUUUAUUUGUCUUUUUAUGGCCACACGCAGCAUAUGGAAUUUCCCAGGCUAGGGGUCAAAUCAGAGCCACAGAUACCAACCUACACCAGAGCCGCAGCAACUCGGGACCCAGGCCAUGUCUGUGACCUAUACCACAGCUCACGGCAACGCUGGAUCCCCAACCCACUGAGUGAGGCCAGGGAUCGAACCUGCAUCUUCAGGGGUACUAGUUGGAUUCAUUUCCACUGAGCCAUGACGGGAACUCCACGUCCUUUGCAUUUAAAAUGAAUCAACUCCAGGAGUUCCCUGGUGAUCUAGUGGUUCAGUUGAAGCCUGAGUUCAAUCUCUGAUCUGGGAACUGAGAGCCCACAUCAAGCUGCUGCACACCAUGGCCAUAAAAACAAAAACAUUGUAAAAAAUAAAAUGAACCCACUCCAACCUAGUAGAUCCAUUUAGCUUGAUGCCUUCACAGUCCAGUCCUGCUUCAUAUAAUGCCAUUUGCUACAGGCUAUUUUGGUCUGUGCAUCCUUCCAGAGAGCUACCAUGAAAUAGAAAUAGAAGAAUUUUCUCCCACAAAAAGACCAUGACAUUUUCAUACAGACAGCACCCAGAGUGACCCAUGUCCCUGGGAGUUGCUAGCUCAAGGUGCAGACAACACAGAAGUAACAUUUUCUUUUACCAUGUAUCAAGCAUAAGCUUAUCUAAUAUGAUUAAAACACAGUAAAGAAAACACAGGAAGAGCAAUUCUGUAACAUAAUUUAAAUCAUAGUCUCAUUAUGAAAGAGAAAGCUGAUGAGAUGCUUUUUUGUGACAUCCUUUUGUAAUGAAGAUGUUAGAUGGUCUGGCAGUGCCUGUUGUCAUCAUUACAGGAAAUAGUAACUUCCACAUCUCGGUGGAUUCCAGGCCAUUCUAGUGUCCCCAUCCACAUCUUUAUUCUGUCUCAUUGCAAUAAGAACAAGUAGAUGUACACACACACACACGUGUAGCAUACAGAAUAGUUUUAGGUGAAGGGAAAUAAGAUGGGGAGACACUACAGAACCCAGAAGUGUCUGAUUCCAAACACACUCAGUCAUCUGACCAAUCCUUCCAAAGUUCCCUGGGACAACGCCUCCCGAUCUUUGGUAACUAGUGGAAGGAGGCUCAGCCACGUGCAGUAGCUUGCACACUGAGAACAAGUUCCCAUCAGACCCAUUAGACAUCAGCAGACCCCGAACUGGAUAGGCAGGUACUCCCGCCUGACCUUCCACCAGCCCUUUCUCCAAAAUGCCCCUGCACAGUGACCUGCAGCUGAUCCCAUCAAAUGCAUUAACACAGUUAUUUUCUCUACAGUCCUAUCAAGUCCUAAUAAUCCAAGUACUGGUAUUUGCUUCACAAUUCAGGUUCCUGACAUUGAAACCUAGAUUCAGAAAUAAAUAACUGCCCCAAUUCAGUUUAAACGUAAUAAUAGCCCAUCUUUAUUGAUCACUUGCUGUGUGCCAGGCACUGUUUUGCACUUAGUAGUUUACCUAAUACAAGAAAGCCAGUUUACAGAUGAGAACAGUUUACACGUUCUCAGUUUACAGAUGAGAACAGUUUACACGUUCUCAGGUGAGGUAAGGUGUUGGACCUCAGGCAAAGCUGGGGAGAUGUAGAAUGAAGGAAGUACAGUCUCUCCCUUCAAAGAGCUUACCACAGUGUACGGAAAUAAGGGGAGGGCCCUAACUCAUAAUUCAGAGUAAGUAAAAAACCACAAGAUACACCUUUAGGGGAGUUCAGAGGAAGAAGGAUUUAUUCGUCCUGGCAGGAUGCUGGAGGGCUUCUUGGAGGUGUCCAAGUAGAAGAUGAGGACAUAAAUAGAAAGAGCUUUCCAGACCGCUCAGUCACUCAGCUCCCAAAGCUACCAACUCUUCUCUUAGUUCCCUUGCUCCAUUUCACCUGGAACAGGCCUGCUUCCAAGAUAGGAUCAGCUCAGCCCAGCCCUCCUUUCCUCUGACACAUUCCUCCAGCUGCUGCUUGCCCUUCCAGGCCUACAGGCACAUAUGGGAACUUUUCACCAAGGCUCACUCUGGUGCUUUCAUGGGGGAGAAGCUGCAUCAUCGGUAAAAGGGACCCCUUUAAGGGAAUCCAGUCCUUCUGCACCGGAUUAUAUCAGACAGUCCCUAGCCUGCACCAAGCUAAGUCGUAAGGGACUCCCACCACCAGCAGCCAUCAGAAAGGUCAUCACUCCUCUCCAGGCUUCCGAGAGAGAUGAAUUUGCUCCUCCUCCCUCCUCUCAAACACAUUCCCUGGGUCAUCCCCCAACCUCUUCCUCAUCAGGGCUUAAGGCUCUGCAGCAAGGGCUCAAACCCUCACUCCUUUGUGACCUUGGGCAAGUAACUGAACCAACUCCAGCCCCAGCUUCCUUAUAAUAUGGGGUUUAUGAGAACAACUCGCUCUCAGAAUUGUUGUGAAUCAGAAUAAGGCAGUGCAAGGAAAGCACUGUACAAAGAGACUGGAACGAAAGAGCAACUAUCAACAUCAUCACAGGGAUGAUGUUGGUGGCAGUAUAAACUUGGGCUUGACUGGCGCUGAAAUACCCCCUCCACUCUCUUCCCCCACCGCCACCCACAAGCCUGCGGCCCGGCAGCACGGAGGAGACACAUGCGUCAUCCAGCUGUGGAGUGAAUGCAGGAUCUUCCGGCAGCGGGCUUUGGGACCUAGGCAGUGAUGCCUCAACCCACCUGGGCUGCUGCGGGGUGAAGGUUAUUUUCUGAUGGGGGACGUCCAAUAAGCAAAGACCCUUCCCUCCUUCGUACCCAUUCUCCAGGUGGAAACAGACAAGCGGCCAAAGAACGCAGCAGCUGCGCCAGCGGUAACGACCCCCCAGGGAGCCAGAAGAACGUCCCCUAGCCCCGGCUUCAGUUCCCCAACUCUCCUCCAGAUGCGGGAGAAGCUGCGCCGCACUUGGUGGCUGAGAUAACAGGUUGGCAAACCCGACCUGCGAAAAAAAUCUCCGCGCUUCCCCGCGCAAACCUAAGCCCCUCUUCCCUACUCAGGUGGGCAAACAACCUACAAUCUCUCAACAACUUUGUGUAUUUCACCAACUCAAGGCGCUUGGCCUCAACUUCCCCUCUAAGCCGGGUUUGCCGGAGAAAAGCGGGAAAUUGGGGAUGGGGGGAGGGAGUCUCCACAGGCCGCUCCCCUUUUCUGGGGGCGCCUUCCGGAGGCGCGUCCCGUCUUACCUUGUCUGACGGCUUUGAAGGUGACCGCCUCCUUGCAGCUGUCGAUGACUCCCAGUACGUCAUAGCGGGGCAAGCCGGACACCCGGAUCCCCUGGACCUCCAGAAGCAGCUCCCCUUCGCCCAGCCGCGGGCCCUCGCCGCCGCCAGGAAGCCCCGACGCCUCGGCCGCCGCCACCGCUCCGACAUAAGGAAACUCUCCAUUCUCCGCGCCCCCCAGCACGGUCACCCCCAGCUCGCCCUGGGGUCCCCGCUUCACGGUGCAUUCGUGAACCUUGCUAGUCCAGUGAUUCUUCUUCUGGAUCACUUUUGACAUGAUGAGUUACACCCCUCUUCCCCCCCACAAAAAAAAUAAUAAGUGAGAGACAGGUGUCCCUCCGCAGCACAAGCCCCCCCCACCAGGCCCUCGCUGGUUCAUGGGAGAGACAUCUCCCCCCAAAAAACGCAACGGGAGAGAGAAACUUGGCAGCCUCGCUCGCCGCACACACUCGCGCACUCAAGCCAUCAUAAAACAAACUUUCUGGGCUUCCCCGCGAGCCCUGCACAGGCGCCCGCGAGCUUUGUUUGCAUUCCGGUGCUUCUCCGUCCACGUUCCGGCGCCUGACCGUGCUCUCCCGGACCAGAGUCCACUCUGCGCCGCUUGGGUUAUUUUUUUUCCUUCCUUCCUUUCUUUCUCGCCUCUUAGAAAUGCGGUGUCUCCUCUUUGCCGCCCGCCUGGCUCGCCUUUUCUCGUUGGCGGGUUGUUCCUGAGCGUGAGGGAAGCCCUUCCAGCCAGUUGCUGGGAGCCCAGGAGACGCGGUAGCGAAGCGGGGGUUGGGGGACAGGGGGGAAGUGCCAGCGGCCCCUUUAAGCAGAUACAAAGGCUCUGCUUGUUUUGUUACAGUUCAUUCUAUUCC
rnacentral:lncRNA from 1 species